GAUGAACGCUGGCGGCGUGCCUAAUACAUGCAAGUCGAGCGAACAGACGAGGAGCUUGCUCCUCUGACGUUAGCGGCGGACGGGUGAGUAACACGUGGAUAACCUACCUAUAAGACUGGGAUAACUUCGGGAAACCGGAGCUAAUACCGGAUAAUAUAUUGAACCGCAUGGUUCAAUAGUGAAAGACGGUUUUGCUGUCACUUAUAGAUGGAUCCGCGCCGCAUUAGCUAGUUGGUAAGGUAACGGCUUACCAAGGCAACGAUGCGUAGCCGACCUGAGAGGGGGAUCGGCCACACUGGAACGGAGACACGGUCCAGACGCCUACGGGAGGCAGCAGUAGGGAAUCUGCCGCAAUGGGCGAAAGCCUGACGGAGCAACGCCGCGUGAGUGAUGAAGGUCUUCGGAUCGUAAAACUCUGUUAUUAGGGAAGAACAAAUGUGUAAGUAACUAUGCACGUCUUGACGGUACCUAAUCAGAAAGCCCCGGCUAACUACGUG
rnacentral:rRNA from 1 species